rnacentral:rRNA from 1 species
GAAUUCACUAGUGAUUACUCCUACGGGAGGCAGCAGUGGGGAAUUUUCCGCAAUGGGCGAAAGCCUGACGGAGCAAUACCGCGUGAGGGAGGAAGGCUCUUGGGUUGUAAACCUCUUUUCUCAAGGAAGAAGUUGUGACGGUACUUGAGGAAUCAGCAUCGGCUAACUCCGUGCCAGCAGCCGCGGUAAUACGGAGGAUGCAAGCGUUAUCCGGAAUGAUUGGGCGUAAAGCGUCCGUAGGUGGUUGUGUGUGUCUAUUGUCAAAGGGUCAUGCUUAACAUGAUAAAGGCAGUGGAAACUACACGACUAGAGUGCGUUCGGGGCAGAGGGAAUUCCUGGUGUAGCGGUGAAAUGCGUAGAGAUCAGGAAGAACACCGGUGGCGAAAGCGCUCUGCUAGGCCUGCACUGACACUGAGGGACGAAAGCUAGGGGAGCGAAUGGGAUUAGAUACCCCAGUAGUCCUAGCCGUAAACGAUGGAUACUAGGCGUUGAGAGUAUCGACCCUCUCAGUGCCGUAGCUAACGCGUUAAGUAUCCCGCCUGGGGAGUACGCACGCAAGUGUGAAACUCAAAUGAAUUGACGGCGGGCGGGGGCGGCGGGACGGGCGCGGGGCGCGGCGGGCGAAUCGAAUUCCCGCGGCC